UAUGUAGAACCGUUAGCAUCAAACCCAUGCAAUCAACCACAAAGAUUAACAAGACAAGAUUUUAUACGUUGGCGGCAUAGCCACCCCGGGCCCAAAGUCGAUGUUGACCAGCCUCAUUUUCAAAAUUAUGGGCCACAUUCGUGCGGAGCAAGAGGAAUAUAAUAGGCUGCAGCAGAAGUGCGAGAGUAAACCAUUUUCAUACACCUGUUAGGUGUAUGUAGUCUUAACAAUACAGAAAUAAUCUU